ensembl:lncRNA
UGGUGAGGUCGUUCAGCCUACUUCCUGCAGCCCUCUGAACUCGCCUCUCAUCCUCCUUCCUUGUUUACAGAUUAGCAGAGCAAGCUAUUGAAACACCAGGAAAUCUGAAGAUCAGCCACUUGGCUUCCUAAAUUGGAUUGCAUGAACUCAUUGAGCAGUAGGUAAAAAAGAAAAGAAAAAAACAUGGAAGAGAAAGGCUUGAUGUUUCGUGUCUUGACGAAAGGCUGCUAAAACAGGAACUACUUUGCGUGAAAGACAAACUGAACUGUAGAGGCGAUAAAGAAAACCUGAAGUGGACUCCCUGAGUUGUGAAGACAAACAGGAAGUAAGUGAGAGUGCAGGGUAGAAGUGUGAUCGCGGUGUUUCCAGAUUUAAAGCAAUACGAUAAAAGAGCACCUAAAAGCUCAAGCAGCUUUUCCUACUCAUUGACAACUGCAGAAACAUAGUCCCCUAUAGCUCAGCCACCUUCCAGGCUGCUGACUGGACCUUGCCGCAGGCCUGGCCGGCCUCCGGACCUGCUCAAACGCCACCACUGCCUUCGGCGUGGCCGGCCUCCGGACCUGCUCAGUCGCCACCACUGCCUUCGGCGUGGCCGGCCUCCGGACCUGCUCAGUCGCCACCACUGCCUUCGGCGUGGCCGGCCUCCGGACCUGCUCAGUCGCCGCCACUGGCUUCCGUG